ensembl:ncRNA asRNA:CR45124 antisense RNA:CR45124
UGCGACAUUGUUCUACGAUGACUACAAAAAAUGACCAAUAACUUCUAUAAACCAAUACGAUAUGUCAGGAGUUUCGGUCCCAUACGAAGUCGCCGACUUAAGUAUUUUAUUUUUAUUUUGAUAUGUGUUUGCUAUUUUACCUUGUCGAAUGCUUCCACACGCUAUGAGAAUACCAUCGUGAGCGUAGCUUACUACUAGAAUUUUGUUGAAGUUAUUGACAAGCGAUGUCUCAAUAUCUUCCGGACAGCCUCCAGCGUGACAUUGCGGGGAAUCAUGUAACGGCCCAGUAACAGCCUCGGCCAGCACUCGAAGGUUUUCGUUAAGUUUAAGUAUUUUAUUUGUAGCACCCGCAAACAAAACAUUGUGCAUAAAGUCGAAGCUCAUCUGGAAGCUGUUGAUUGAACUGGUAUUGAUGGCAAGUUAAACUGGGCGACUAUGUCAUUUAAGGGAGAUAACGCCUGAGCCGGCAGUUCUUCAAUGCAGUUAACGCAAUAAUGCUGAGAACCGAGUAUGAUAAUAAUACACAGU